ACAUAGCCCUAUGAAAUGAUCUAGGGUGAUACCUGCUCAAUGAACGAUUUUUAAUAGCCGCGGUACCUUGACCGUGCUAAGGUAGCAUAAUCAGUUGACUUUUAAAUGAAGUCUGGAAUGAAUGGAUAAACGGGAUUAAGCUGUCUCAAUCUUUUUAUUACGAAUUUACUAAUAGGGUGAAAAGGCCCUAAUAAGAUAAAAGACGAGAAGACCCUUAGAGUUUUUUAAAGAUUUUGUUGGGGCGACAAGGAGUGAUGUAACACUCCUGGAAUAAAUAUGACGGAUUUUUCAUGAACAGAUAAACUACCUGAGGGAUAACAGCAUUAUCUUUUUAGGUUUGUGACCUCGAUGUUGGACUAGGAAGCCUAUAGGCUAGCCGCUUAUAAGGGGGGUUCUGUUCGAACUUUUUUCUCCUACGUGAUCUGA
rnacentral:rRNA from 1 species